GGGAUCUAUAUACUAGUGAAAAUACAUGAUGCACACUUCAACUCCUGGUGGGUGAUGAAAUUGCACGGUGCAAUUUCUGGCGUGGUAAUGAAUGAAUGAAUGAAUUUAAAUGGAUACAAAAAUCCCGGUGGGUCAAAAGUAAAUAGACUUGUGGAGGAAAGACUCUUGGCUCUUUAGGAGGUGCCAUCCGAGAGCCAAUUGUAUCUACUAUCAAUGGAAGCAGGCUUAGAAAGCAUGGACCAUAAUAAUAGAUACCUCUUUAAAAGUGAGACAUCAAGAUUGUAUCAUAGUUUGAUGUUGCAAUCUAAAUAUCAAACUAAUGUUGAAAUAUCUACUUCAACAGAAACACCUUCAAAUGAUACACCUUUAUCUUUAUUUAAUGA